rnacentral:rRNA from 1 species
AUGGAUCUGGUUAGGAACCAACUUGCCACUGACAUUGCUCUAGAUUUUGGUGAGAUCUCCUCUCCACCGCCGUCACUCCCACUGCUGCACGGAUCCAUGGCGGAGUCCGCAAGUCUCCUCCAUGGCCUCCAGGAUGAGAUCUUCAUGUUUGAGAUCCUCGUUCGCCUGCCCCCCAAAUCCCUCCUUCACUGCUGUGCCGUCUGCCACGCCUGGCGCGGCGCCACCUCCGACCGCGACUUCCUUGUCGCCCACCACGCCCGCCAGCCCUCACUCCCUCUCCUUUACACUGAAAUUGAUGACCCGCCGUCCAUAGACAUCAUCACCCCCUUCCCCUGCGACCACCGGGCAGACGACAAGCUCCAGCCCGUUGCCCAACUCAGUGGUGCCCAUGACUUCUUUCCCGUGGCCUGCUGUGACGGCCUCCUUGUCUUCACCACCUGCGGGGGUGAACGCCUCUCCAUCUGCAACCCGGCCACUCGUCAGUAUGCUCGUCUCAACCAGCUUGAUGACUUCACGGUUUUGGGGAUGUACCCACACAGCCCUACCAGCGAGUACCGACUACUGCUCUGCGUCUGCCCGGAAACUGAUGCUCAAAGUGGCUUCUACGUCUUCACAUUAGGCUCUGACCAGCAGCCGAGGCACAUCGGGGCGCAUGCCAAGGGACUGUUGCAACACCAACCUGUCCUUUUCCGUGGUAGCCUGCAUUGGCACACAGAGCGACUGAUAAUGGUAUUUGACACCACCGCUGAGUUGUUCCGGCAGAUGCGCUCUCCGAUUGAUCCCGGCCAUGCCGAGGCUGACCUGUUUGAGAUGGGUGACUUGCUUGGCAUGUACAGUCUUAAUGAAGAAAAUACCAUUGUUCAUGUCUGGGUGAUGCAGGACUACGAAGGCCAAGUCUGGGCCUCCAAAGCCUGGCGGGUUCAAUUGCCGAUUGCAGAGCUAAGGGUGCUAUUAAAAAACUUUCGCGGUUUUUGGUGUGUGGAUGUUGCAUAUUGGGAUGGUGAUGUCCUCGUGCUGGUCGAUAUUGACAAGGACUCGCUACUUCAGUUUGACAUUGAUGGCAAGUUGGUUGCUAGUCUCCAUCGCAGAUUUCUCUGCUAG